rnacentral:rRNA from 1 species
AGAGUUUGAUUCUGGCUCAGAUUGAACGCUGGCGGCAGGCCUAACACAUGCAAGUCGAGCGGCAGCGGGAAAGUAGCUUGCUACUUUUGCCGGCGAGCGGCGGACGGGUGAGUAAUGCCUGGGAAAUUGCCCAGUCGAGGGGGAUAACAGUUGGAAACGACUGCUAAUACCGCAUACGCCCUACGGGGGAAAGCAGGGGACCUUCGGGCCUUGCGCGAUUGGAUAUGCCCAGGUGGGAUUAGCUAGUUGGUGAGGUAAUGGCUCACCACGGCGACGGAUCCCUAGCUGGUCUGAGAGGAUGAUCAGCCCACACUGGAACUGAGACACGGUCCAGACUCCUUCGGGAGGCAGCAGUGGGGAAUAUUGCACAAUGGGGGAAACCCUGAUGCAGCCAUGCCGCGUGUGUGAAGAAGGCCUUCGGGUUGUAAAGCACUUUCAGCGAGGAGGAAAGGUCAGUAGCUAAUAUCUGCUGACUGUGACGUUACUCGCAGAAGAAGCACCGGCUAACUCCGUGCCAGCAGCCGCGGUAAUACGGAGGGUGCAAGCGUUAAUCGGAAUUACUGGGCGUAAAGCGCACGCAGGCGGUUGGAUAAGUUAGAUGUGAAAGCCCCGGGCUCAACCUGGGAAUUGCAUUUAAAACUGUCCAGCUAGAGUCUUGUAGAGGGGGGUAGAAUUCCAGGUGUAGCGGUGAAAUGCGUAGAGAUCUGGAGGAAUACCGGUGGCGAAGGCGGCCCCCUGGACAAAGACUGACGCUCACGUGCGAAAGCGUGGGGAGCAAAAAGGAUUAGAUGCCCUGGUAGUCCACGCCGUAAACGC